AACGAACGCUGGCGGCAUGCCUAACACAUGCAAGUCGAACGAGACCUUCGGGUCUAGUGGCGCACGGGUGCGUAACGCGUGGGAACCUGCCCUUAGGUUCGGAAUAACUCCCGUAAGGGGUGCUAAUACCGGAUAAUGUCUUCGGACCAAAGAUUUAUCGCCUUUGGAUGGGGCCGCGUUGGAUUAGCUAGUUGGUAGGGUAAAAGCCUACCAAGGCGACGAUCCAUAGCUGGUCUGAGAGGAUGAUCAGCCACACUGGGACUGAGACACGGCCCAGACUCCUACGGGAGGCAGCAGUGGGGAAUAUUGGACAAUGGGCGAAAGCCUGAUCCAGCAAUGCCGCGUGAGUGAUGAAGGCCUUAGGGUUGUAAAGCUCUUUUACCCGGGAUGAUAAUGACAGUACCGGGAGAAUAAGCUCCGGCUAACUCCGUG
rnacentral:rRNA from 1 species